rnacentral:rRNA from 1 species
CCUACGGGCGGCAGCAGUGAGGAAUAUUGGUCAAUGGACGAGAGUCUGAACCAGCCAAGUAGCGUGAAGGAUGACUGCCCUAUGGGUUGUAAACUUCUUUUAUAAAGGAAUAAAACGAGGCACGUGUGCCUUUUUGCAUGUACUUUAUGAAUAAGGAUCGGCUAACUCCGUGCCAGCAGCAGCGGUAAUACGGAGGAUCCGAGCGUUAUCCGGAUGUAUUGGGUUUAAAGGGAGCGUAGAUGGGUUGUUAAGUCAGUUGUGAAAGUUUGCGGCUCAACCGUAAAAUUGCAAUUGAUACUGGCAGUCUUGAGUACAGUUGAGGUAGGCGGAAUUCGUGGUGUAGCGGUGAAAUGCUUAGAUAUCACGAAGAACCCCGAUUGCGAAGGCAGCUUACUAAACUGUGACUGACAUUGAUGCUCGAAAGUGUGGGUAUCAAACAGGAUUAGAUACCCGGGUAGUC